rnacentral:rRNA from 1 species
AGAGUUUGAUCAUGGCUCAGAUUGAACGCUGGCGGCAGGCCUAACACAUGCAAGUCGAACGGUAACAGGAAGCAGCUUGCUGCUUCGCUGACGAGUGGCGGACGGGUGAGUAAUGUCUGGGAAACUGCCUGAUGGAGGGGGAUAACUACUGGAAACGGUAGCUAAUACCGCAUAACGUCGCAGGACCAAAGAGGGGGACCUUCGGGCCUCUUGCCAUCAGAUGUGCCCAGAUGGGAUUAGCUUGUUGGUGAGGUAACGGCUCACCAAGGCGACGAUCCCUAGCUGGUCUGAGAGGAUGACCAGCCACACUGGAACUGAGACACGGUCCAGACUCCUACGGGAGGCAGCAGUGGGGAAUAUUGCACAAUGGGCGCAAGCCUGAUGCAGCCAUGCCGCGUGUAUGAAGAAGGCCUUCGGGUUGUAAAGUACUUUCAGCGGGGAGGAAGGUGUUGUGGUUAAUAACCGCAGCAAUUGACGUUACCCGCAGAAGAAGCACCGGCUAACUCCGUGCCAGCAGCCGCGGUAAUACGGAGGGUGCAAGCGUUAAUCGGAAUUACUGGGCGUAAAGCGCACGCAGGCGGUCUGUCAAGUCGGAUGUGAAAUCCCCGGGCUCAACCUGGGAACUGCAUUCGAAACUGGCAGGCUUGAGUCUUGUAGAGGGGGGUAGAAUUCCAGGUGUAGCGGUGAAAUGCGUAGAGAUCUGGAGGAAUACCGGUGGCGAAGGCGGCCCCCUGGACAAAGACUGACGCUCAGGUGCGAAAGCGUGGGGAGCAAACAGGAUUAGAUACCCUGGUAGUCCACGCCGUAAACGAUGUCUACUUGGAGGUUGUGCCCUUGAGGCGUGGCUUCCGGAGCUAACGCGUUAAGUAGACCGCCUGGGGAGUACGGCCGCAAGGUUAAAACUCAAAUGAAUUGACGGGGGCCCGCACAAGCGGUGGAGCAUGUGGUUUAAUUCGAUGCAACGCGAAGAACCUUACCUGGUCUUGACAUCCACGGAAGUUUUCAGAGAUGAGAAUGUGCCUUCGGGAACUGUGAGACAGGUGCUGCAUGGCUGUCGUCAGCUCGUGUUGUGAAAUGUUGGGUUAAGUCCCGCAACGAGCGCAACCCUUAUCCUUUGUUGCCAGCGGUCCGGCCGGGAACUCAAAGGAGACUGCCAGUGAUAAACUGGAGGAAGGUGGGGAUGACGUCAAGUCAUCAUGGCCCUUACGACCAGGGCUACACACGUGCUACAAUGGCGCAUACAAAGAGAAGCGACCUCGCGAGAGCAAGCGGACCUCAUAAAGUGCGUCGUAGUCCGGACUGGAGUCUGCAACUCGACUCCAUGAAGUCGGAAUCGCUAGUAAUCGUGGAUCAGAAUGCCACGGUGAAUACGUUCCCGGGCCUUGUACACACCGCCCGUCACACCAUGGGAGUGGGUUGCAAAAGAAGUAGGUAGCUUAACCUUCGGGAGGGCGCUUACCACUUUGUGAUUCAUGACUGGGGUGAAGUCGUAACAAGGUAACCGUAGGGGAACCUGCGGUUGGAUCACCU